CCUACGGGGCGCAGCAGUGAGGAAUAUUGGGCAAUGGACGGAAGUCUGAACCAGCCAUGCCGCGUGCAGGAAGACGGCUCUAUGAGUUGUAAACUGCUGUUGUACAAGGGUAAACCUGAAUACGUGUAUUCAGCUGAAAGUACUGUACGAAUAAGGAUCGGCUAACUCCGUGCCAGCAGCCGCGGUAAUACGGAGGAUGCGAGCGUUGUCCGGAUUUAUUGGGUUUAAAGGGUGCGUAGGCGGACUGUUAAGUCAGGGGUAAAAGCCCGGGGUCCAACCCCGGCGUGCCGUUGAAACUGGCUGUCUGGAGAUGUCGAGAGGUAUGCGGAAUGCGCAGUGUAGCGGUGAAAUGCUUAGAUAUUGCGCAGAACUCCGAUUGCGAAGGCAGCAUACCGGCGGCGAUCUGACGCUGAGGCACGAAAGCGUGGGUAUCGAACAGGAUUAGAUACCCGGGUAGUC
rnacentral:rRNA from 1 species